CAUACCGCCACCACGUGUACUCGGCAAAAAGGAUGUAGAAACGGUUCUCGAA
rnacentral:sRNA from 1 species